GAUGAACGCUGGCGGCGUGCUUAACACAUGCAAGUCGAACGGGAAUUAUUUUAUUGCAACUUCGGUCGAUUUAAUUCAAUUCUAUUGGCGGACGGGUGAUUAACGCGUGGGUAACCUGCCUUAUACAGGGGGAUAACAGUCAGAAAUGGCUGCUAAUCCCGCAUAAGCGCACAGAGCUGCAUGGCUCAGUGUAAAAAACUCGGGUGGGAUAAGAGGGACCUGCGUUGGAUUAGCUUGUUGGCACGGUAACGGCCUACCAAGGCGACGAUCCAUAGCCGGCAUGAGAGGGUCAGCGGAGACAUUGGGGCUGGGACACAGUCGGGAAUCCUACGGGAGGCAGGAGUGGGGAAUAUUGCAAAAUCGGGGGAGCGAUGAUGGAGCGACGACGGGUGAAGGAAGAAGUAUGUGAGUAUGUAAAGUUCUAUCAGCAGGGAAGAUAGUGACGGUACCUGACUAAGAAGCCCCGGCUAACUACGUG
rnacentral:rRNA from 1 species